rnacentral:rRNA from 1 species
UACGAAGGGGGCUAGUGUUGUUCGGAAUUACUGGGCGUAAAGCGCACGUAGGCGGAUCGAUCAGUCAGGGGUGAAAUCCCAGAGCUCAACUCUGGAACUGCCUUUGAUACUGGCGAUCUCGAGUCCGGGAGAGGUGAGUGGAACUGCGAGUGUAGAGGUGAAAUUCGUAGAUAUUCGCAAGAACACCAGUGGCGAAGGCGGCUCACUGGCCCGGUACUGACGCUGAGGUGCGAAAGCGUGGGGAGCAAACAGG